GGACACCUGGCCUUCCAACUGUGGGCUAGAAAGGUGGUGCUUGUUGGUACGGCCCAGACCCUUAUGUGCUGUUUAUUUUGUAAAUUCAGCAUGAGCCUGGCAUCUCACAGAGCCCUAGCAGUUUCAGAACUGUAGACACAGGCUACAGCACUGUUCAUGGGAGUUUUUAGAACGCUUUAAUGAGACACAGAGGCAAUUUUGCAGAGUCAUGCUGCAAGUAGACACGUACCUGUGAGAGCCAGUGUGGGACUGUGAGAGAACUGAAGUUCCUUUUGUUCGAAAAGCAGAUGGAAGAAACAGUGACAGUCGGUGCAGAAAAUCUGUGAGCAGCCUGACGUGGAGGGAAAGCAUGAGCUCUUGGAGUGCCUACUGAAAUGUCGUACUUGUGAAGGAUGUAAAAGUGGAAAGAAAGGCAGAGAAGAAAGAUGAGACAGAUUCUCGGUGCCACAGAAGUUAAAGAUGACAAGUCUUGAUUCUUGCCUCCUCCUCUUGCCCUGAAUCUUGUUGUAUUGGUAAGAUUUCAGUGAUCCAAAGUGACCUAAGAAACUCUCGAGGGAUGGAGAAAGCAAUCUAUGCAGAUUAGAGGCUACUGUUGGUUCCGUAUAGAAGUGGUGGGAGCUGGAACUAGAAGUCCAGUUAUGGAGAUGGAGAGAUGGAAGAAAGCACAAAAAAACCCACAAAACAAUGGAUGACAAGGACACAAGCUGCAGGACCUCAUGAUCACAUUGCUUUCUUGGGAAAAUCCUGCUAACUCCAGUAGGAAUGCUGGCUAUCUUCCAGGGCAUAUCACUGAGGGGGCAUAUUUAAACCAAGAAGAUGGCUGCUGCUUGGAGGACAUGCAUGCAGGGGAGACAUGCUUAUUGUGGAAAGUAAAACUGCAAAGCAAGCUUUUUCCAAGGGAGCUGCCACAGCCCCCAGGAACCAUUUGUCAUUUUGCACAGUGGCUCUGUCUGUCACAAGAAGUCACCUCUCCCAGCUGCUCUACAAGCAACGUGGACAGCCAUGAAAAUGAAGGGGACCAUUAUGCUACUGGAAAAUAAUAGAAUGCCAUAAAACCAACAGUUCUGAAUUUCAGGUCCCACAGCUGGCUUCCAGGCUUAGCCUGAUAUCAAGCACAGGGAAGCUGUAUUAAGGAACUCAUGGUUUUCUAUGUAUCUCACUGAGGUUAUCCCAGUGUUACUGUCCUUCUGCACUGAGUUCACACCACCAAGUUUGAAAGCUUGAGCAUGAAUGAACUCUCAGCUGUUUGCACUGCGUUGGAUUUCAGACUUGAACAUGUAGGUUUUGCAGAAGGGGCUUGCUCUAUACUCAGUUUGACAAAGCCAGUGAAUUGCAGGCAACAGGACAACAGUUUGAGAAGACACUGAGCUGUUCUGGAUGCAUCUGAGGGGAAGAAAGAAAACCCUGUAUUUGCAUGCUCAUAUUUCACUUCACUUCAGCCUCUUUAAAAUUCUAGUACUUGAAAUAGAUCUUUAGGUAAACCUUACCUGCAGAAAAAUGGCAUCUUUGGAAACAAGGUAUGCUAAAGCAGUCAGAGGUCAAGAAAUCAGAGCAAAGGGAGGAGGCCAUGGGAGAAUUUUUGGGUAAACUCCUUAAUGUUUCCUCCACUCAUAUAGAACCUACAGUGAUGAUGAACCACUAUGAGAAGAAUCUUUGUCAUUAAUGAUAAUCACUGGAUAUGCAUAUGAAAAUAUACACAAUCACAGAAAAUUUGAAGAUUUUUGGUCUCAUUUUCAAUUUUAUUUUGAGAUAUAUAAUUUUCUUUUAUAUAAGCAAUUUCUCCUCAGCCUAGCUCUGAAACAUACAUUUUGGAAGGUUUUGUAUGGGAUGCCCAUCUCAGCUUGAAAAGAACUCAUUAAUCUUCUGUGGUAGUGAACUGAAUGGAUUAAUGAAAACAUCUCUUCUGGAUGUUCAGUUAUUUUACUCCUUUGUUUUUAUUUCUAAUUUCCAGUUUGAAUUAAUAGUAAUAAAACACUUGGAACU
rnacentral:lncRNA from 7 species